rnacentral:lncRNA from 1 species
AAUGAUAGAAUACGUAAAUAGUAACAAUAACAAUAUAACUGAUAUGAAUAAUUCGUUUAACCAUAUAAAUAUACCGCCUUUAAAUAAUAACUUGAAUGUUGCUGAAAAUUCAUGGACAUCUGAUAGAAUUACCUUAUCUUCUGAAGAAUAUCCCUAUUAUUUGAAUUUAUUCAAUUUAAAUGAUAAAUAUGAAAAUCACUUGAUUGAUAACAAAACAGCAUCCGUUUUUAUGCAAAACUCGGGACUUUCUAUUUCUGUGUUACAUUCGAUAUGGGAACAUAGCGAUGUAGAAAAUAAAGGCUAUUUAACUUUGGAAGAUUUUUUUAUAUGUUGUAGAUUAGUUGCUCAUGCACAGAAUGGCAAUCCUAUUAGUACUGAGAUGAUAAACAUAAAACCAUUGUGUCUACCCAGCUUCGAUAUUAUCAGACAUAAAUCUUUUUCCGAUUUGUCGAAUAUUGACAAUAACAUUGAGUGGAAAAUAAAUAAAAAAGAGAAAGAAGAUUACAGACGAAUUUUUAAAAUAUUAGAUAUAAAUAAUGAAGAAAGAAUAGAAGGGGGAGUAAUAAGAGAAUAUUAUUUACAUUCUUCGAGUUUAUCCAUUUGUGAAUUGAUGCAAAUAUGGUCUAUUUCCGAUACUGAUAAUGAUGGUUUUCUUGAUUUUAAUCAGUUUUGUAUUAUGAAUAAAGUUGUUGAAAUAAGAAAAGCUAAGGAAAUUAAUAUUCCUUUAUCUGUUCCUUCUGAUCUUUUGAAUUCUUUAAAUUCUAAAAAUGACACAGCAGGAGAUGGUAAAAAAAAAAAAAAAAAAAAAAAAAAAAAAAAAAAAAAAAAAAGAAAACAAGAAAGGAGGUCUAAAAGAGGAUAUGCAAAACGGUACAGAAAGUACUACGAAAGAAGAAACUGUUGAAACAAUUGAAUAUUUAAAAAGUAAUAAUAGUAAAAAUGAAAAAUUAAACAUGGAAUAUGAUUUUUUUAAUUUUCAUGGCGAUGGUAAUGGAGAUGGUAAUGGAGAUGGUAAUGGAGAUGGUAAUGGCGAUGGUAAUGAUGAAACAUACAAAGAAACGAGUUUAAAAAAAAAAAAAAAAAAAAAUGAUUCUUUUUUUAACCAUAAUAAAGGUAGUAAUCGUUAUGGAGAUAGUCAUAAACAUAAUAAAAUGUUUAAAAAUAUCCAUGAGAAUUAUAAAAAAAUGAGUGAAGAUUAUAAAGAAGGUGUUAAACGAUAUAUGCAUGAACCAUCUGAAGAAGUAACCAUACCCAAAUCAGAAGAGAAAAGUAAUAAUUCUGAGUUAAAUAGUGAUGAAAAUAUUGAAAUAUAUAAUAACAGUAUUAGUAGUACCACUGAUAGUAGUGUUUAUAAUAGUAGUAAUUAUAAUAGUAGUGAUUAUAAUAGUAGUGAUAGUAGUAACAGUAAUCCUAUAUGUAAUCAAAAAGAAAAAAUUAAACAUGAUCAAAUAAAAGAUCACACUGGUAAUAAUAAUUUAUAUGAACAAAAAAUAGAACAAUCAAUAAAUAAUAGUGAAAAUAAAAAAAUAAAAAAAAAAAAAAAAAAAAAAAAAAAGGAAGAAAAAAAAAAAGAAAAAAAUAAAGAAAAAAAGGGGGAAAAAAAAGAAAAAAACAUAGAGGGAUGUACCAGUUUAGAUGCACAACGUAAUAAUAAAAGUCGUAGCAAAUCUAAAAAUGAAAAAUGUAAAAUUAAUAAUUUAUUAAAUAAAAAAGAGAAUAAUGAAAAAAGUUGCAGUAUUGAUACAAACAUAAAUAAUAGAUUAUCAGUGGACGAAACAAUAGAACGAAAUAAAAAAAAGUAUAUAAAUAAAGAAAAAAAUAAAGAAAAAAAUAAAGAAAUAAAUAAAAAAAAUAAAGAAAAAAAUAAAGAAAAAAAUAAAGAAAAAAAUAAAAAAAAUAAAGAAAAAAAUAAAGAAAAAAGUAUAGAAAAAAGUAUAGAAAAAGGUAUAGAAAAAACGGAUAAAAAAAAAAAAGGCGAUGGUAAAAUAGCAGGUAUGAUGAAAGAUAGAGGAAGCAGUUUAGCAAAAGAAGCGGGCAUAAUAGAAGUGAUUGACAAGGGAUUAACUACUGGUACUGACACAGACAUAGCUACUGCCACUGCUAGUGAUACGGAUACAAAUAUUGGUACAGAUAUUGGUACAGAUAUGGGUACAGAUAUUGGUACAGAUAUUGGUACAGAUAUUGGUAUAGAUAUAGGUACAGAUAUAAAUAAUAGUACAAUCAAUAAAUAUCCAAAUUUUAAUCAAAAUUUAAAAAGUAUCCCUAUCGACAAUACUGAUAUAGAAAAGUUAGAAAAAGCCAAUCGUAAGCUAGAAGAAGAAAUAAAAAAAAGAAAAAAAUAUAUUGAAAAAAAAAAAAAAAAAAAAAAAAGAUCUUACUUAUAUAUACGAAAAUGA